UACGUAGGGGCUAGCGUUGUCCGGAAUCAUUGGGCGUAAAGGGUGCGUAGGCGGCGCGGUAAGUCGGGUGUGAAAUCUCGGAGCUUAACUCCGAAACUGCAUUUGAUACUGCCGUGCUUGAGGACUGGAGAGGAGACUGGAAUUUACGGUGUAGCGGUGAAAUGCGUAGAUAUCGUAAGGAAGACCAGUGGCGGAAGGCGGGUCUCUGGACAGUUCCUGACGCUGAGGCACGAAGGCCAGGGGAGCAAACGGG
rnacentral:rRNA from 1 species